UACCUGGUAUCUGUUGGAGUUAACACCC
rnacentral:piRNA from 1 species